CCUACGGGGGGCAGCAGUGGGGAAUAUUGGACAAUGGGCGAAAGCCUGAUCCAGCCAUGCCGCGUGUGUGAAGAAGGCCUUCGGGUUGUAAAGCACUUUCAGUGGGGAAGAAAGCCUUGGGACUAAUACCCUCGAGGAAGGACAUCACCCACAGAAGAAGCACCGGCUAACUCCGUGCCAGCAGCCGCGGUAAUACGGAGGGUGCGAGCGUUAAUCGGAAUUACUGGGCGUAAAGCGCGCGUAGGCGGUCUGAUAAGCCGGUUGUGAAAGCCCCGGGCUCAACCUGGGAACGGCAUCCGGAACUGUCAGGCUAGAGUGCAGGAGAGGAAGGUAGAAUUCCCGGUGUAGCGGUGAAAUGCGUAGAGAUCGGGAGGAAUACCAGUGGCGAAGGCGGCCUUCUGGACUGACACUGACGCUGAGGUGCGAAAGCGUGGGUAGCAAACAGGAUUAGAUACCCGAGUAGUC
rnacentral:rRNA from 1 species